rnacentral:rRNA from 1 species
GACGAACGCUGGCGGCGUGCCUAAUACAUGCAAGUUGAGCGCUGAAGGUUGGUACUUGUACCAACUGGAUGAGCAGCGAACGGGUGAGUAACGCGUGGGGAAUCUGCCUUUGAGCGGGGGACAACAUUUGGAAACGAAUGCUAAUACCGCAUAAAAACUUUAAACACAAGUUUUAAGUUUGAAAGAUGCAAUUGCAUCACUCAAAGAUGAUCCCGCGUUGUAUUAGCUAGUUGGUGAGGUAAAGGCUCACCAAGGCGAUGAUACAUAGCCGACCUGAGAGGGUGAUCGGCCGCAUUGGGACGGAGACACGGCCCAAACUCCUACGGGAGGCAGCAGUAGGGAAUCUUCGGCAAUGGGCGAAAGUCUGACCGAGCAACGCCGCGUGAGUGAAGAAGGUUGUCGGAUCGUAAAACUCUGUUGGUAGAGAAGAACGUUGGUGAGAGUGGAAAGCUCAUCAAGUGACGGUAACUACCCAGAAAGGGACGGCUAACUACGUG